GGCUCGCUAGUUCAGUAGGAAGAACGCGGCUCUCAUAAAGCGUCGUGGAUGGUUCGAAUCCAUCGCGAGCCACCA
rnacentral:tRNA from 1 species